CAUGGAAAUAGUGUUUCCACAGAGAUUCCCUGGCAGGUCUAAUGGUGGCCAGAUCAAUGGACCACAGUCCUAUCCCUCUCAAGCCUUCAUCAAAUAUUCCCUACCUAAGGCCCCAGGAAGAAAGAGUGUAGAAAUUUACUACCCCUAUGAGUUUGUGCAGCAAAAGCUGUUCCCAUAUGAAUAUCA